rnacentral:rRNA from 1 species
UAGGUGAACCUGCGGAAGGAUCAUUGAAUCCAUCCACAUCCACUAGCGAAUUACAUCGUACCCCUCAACGCAGCCCCUGCGGGGUUGCUUGAGCGACUGUCUCUCGGGUCAGUCGGGCCACAUUCCACGGAAUUUCCCCGUUCGCGGGGGUGGUCGGCAACCAACCACACACCCAACAAAGCAUACGCCUAAAGCAAAUUUGGCUCAGCAAUGCUGACCAACUUAAUGAGACAACUCUCAACAACGGAUAUCUUGGCUCUCGCAACGAUGAAAACGCAGCGAAAUGCGAUACGUAGUGUGAAUUGCAGAAUACCGUGAAUCAUCGAAUCUUUGAACGCAUAUUGCGGUCGAGGCUUCGGCCAAGACCAUGUCUGCCUCAGCGUCGGUGUAAACCCUCACUCCACCUAUCGGGUCGAGUGGACCUGACCUUCCCACUGCCUGGCGGUGGGUUGGUUGAAAUACAUAGGCUCAAGCCGGGGUCUGUAUGGCAACAGCAAGAUAAGUAGCCCGUCUACUUCAGCUGAUGCUUUGGACGCCGGCACGAGCCCGCAGGAAAAUUACUCUAUUCGAC